rnacentral:rRNA from 1 species
AUUGAACGCUGGCGGCAGGCCUAACACAUGCAAGUCGAACGAGUGGCGGACGGGUGAGUAAUGUCUGGGAAACUGCCCGAUGGAGGGGGCUAACUACUGGAAACGGUCUCUAAUACCGCAUACUAUCGGAUGUGCCCAGCUGGGAUUAGCUAGUAGGUGGGGUAACGGCUCACCUAGGCGACGAUCCCUAGCUGGUCUGAGAGGAUGACCAGCCACACGGGAACUGAGACACGGCCCAGAUUCCUACGGGAGGCAGCAGUGGGGAAUAUUGGACAAGGGGCGCAAGCCUGAUGCAGCCAUGCCGCGGGUAUGAAGAAGGCUUUCGGGUUGUAAAGUACUUUCAGCGGGGAGGCGUUACCCGCAGAAGAAGCAACGGCUAACUACGUGCCAGCAGCCGCGGUAAUAC